UACAGAAAUGUGCAGACAUCGACAUGAUGC
rnacentral:piRNA from 1 species